GAUGAACGCUGGCGGCGUGCCUAAUACAUGCAAGUCGAGCGAACAGACGAGGAGCUUGCUCCUCUGACGUUAGCGGCGGACGGGUGAGUAACACGUGGAUAACCUACCUAUAAGACUGGGAUAACUUCGGGAAACCGGAGCUAAUACCGGAUAAUAUAUUGAACCGCAUGGUUCAAUAGUGAAAGACGGUUUUGCUGUCACUUAUAGAUGGAUCCGCGCCGCAUUAGCUAGUUGGUAAGGUAACGGCUUACCAAGGCAACGAUGCGUAGCCGACCUGAGAGGGUGAUCGGCCACACUGGAACUGAGACGCGGUCCAGACUCCUACGGGAGGCAGCAAUAGGGAAUCUUCCGCAAUGGGCGAAAGCUUGACGGAGCAACGCCGCGUGAGUGAUGAAGGUCUUCGGAUCGUAAAACUCUGUUAUUAGGGAAGAACAAAUGUGUAAGUAACUAUGCACGUCUUGACGGUACCUAAUCAGAAAGCCACGGCUAACUACGUG
rnacentral:rRNA from 1 species